GGAGUUAGCCGGUGCUUCUUCUGUGAGUGAUGUCCUUCCUGCCGGCUAUUAACCCGCAGGCCUUCUUCCUCACUGAAAGUGCUUUACAACCCGAAGGCCUUCUUCACACACGCGGCAUGGCUGGAUCAGGGUUGCCCCCAUUGUCCAAUAUUCCCCACUGCUGCCUCCCGUAGGAGUCUGGGCCGUGUCUCAGUCCCAGUGUGGCUGAUCAUCCUCUCAGACCAGCUACGGAUCGUCGCCUUGGUGAGCCGUUACCUCACCAACCAGCUAAUCCGACAUAGGCUCAUCCGAUAGCGCGAGGCCCAAAGGUCCCCCGCUUUCCCCCGUAGGGCGUAUGCGGUAUUAGCCUGGGUUUCCCCAGGUUAUCCCCCACUACCGGGCAGAUUCCUAUGCAUUACUCACCCGUCCGCCGCUCGCCACCAGGGAGCAAGCUCCCCGUGCUGCCGCUCGACUUGCAUGUGUUAGGCCUGCCGCCAGCGUUCAAUCUGAGCCAGGAUCAAACUCUGA
rnacentral:rRNA from 1 species